AACUGAUUGCAAACUGCAUAAUUAAACGAUAUAAACUGUAUCACACUCCUUUGCGCCUCGGUAUAUUAUAAUCACAAUACUUAUUUAAGAAGGCCGAUCACGAGAAAAAUUAGAACUAAUAAAGAUUAAAAGAGUCGAUAUUUGAUGCUAUAUACAAUUGGUCAUGAAUAUUAACUCCAUUCCUGUAUUAUUUUUUUAACAAAGGGGUUGCUUCAACUUUUAGCGGAAAACUUAUCAAAGUGUGGAAGAAAUAAUAAACUAAGAUAAAUGAUGAUCGAGUUGCACUGCGUCAGGGUAGCCGGUUGUCAAAAUUUUCAAUAUACGAAUAAAGAAAUAAAAACAAAAAUAGAGUGAAAAAAAAAUAGAUAUCGGCAUCAUGCUAAACGUGGAGACGAUGAUCCGCCGUUUUUUAGGAUAAAUUUAGGAUAUGACAGGAGAUUACAACUAAAGAACUUUUGGUGCUUCUUCAAAUAUCCUGAAUAAAAAAGGUCGUUAAUCUUCACCUUGAACAUUCGCUUUCUUUUCCAUAAUAGCGCUAACAAUAUCUAUGGAUAGUAGCUGUAGGUUUAAAUCGUUGAUCAAUUGCUCUGGGGCUGUAGAAUCACUUUCCCAUACUAAUAAGAUUAGAAUUUCUUGCAAACGCUCAAAGCUAUGUCGGAGAUUAGCUUGAUCAUUGGAAAAGAUAGUAAUUAAGCUAGAAAUGUCGUUUUCUAAUGCCAUAGCACCAUAAUCAUUCCACUGAAUCUUAUAUAGUAUGAGGUUUUCUAUAUAACUUGCAGCUUUCUCGCAUGCCAUAGAGCGUAAAGAAAGCUGAUUUUCAGGAGUAAAUUGCUCCAGCAACAAAACCCUGUCCCAAACGCUGCGAAGACGGGUAACUACCAGUCUUUCAUGUUCUGUCUCCUUCGUAUAGUCUUCAUAGGACAAGACAUAGUUGAUUCCAUCAAAGGAAUCAUCGAUGCAUUGCUCAAUUCGGGGUAAUAAAAAUAUCGGAAAGUACAUGUUGAAAGAAGUCUUGCAAAGAUUUUCAAAAUUAACGGUUAGCUGCAAAAAAUUAUCAAUCGAUUUCUUUACCAAUUUUUGGUCUUUGGCAAAGGCAAAAACUUCUUCCAACCGACUAGAAACACCAUCCACAAUUGAUUUUAGAUAUUGCUUGCUGAGUGAAGCACUAUUUACCAAUGUUAUGUAGUUUUCGACUUGUUUGGCGGGAAUGCUAUUUGCAUUCUUUAGCCUCUGGAACUGAGCUUUUAUAAUGUUACAGACAGUUAAAAGAUUAUGGGAAAGGUAGACAUAGUAAUCAUUUCUUAAAAUAGGGAUUAAGCUUUCGUUAACAAAUCUGGUGAAGAAUAAAGAGGAGACUGUAAAAAACGCACGUUGGAAUACUUGCUUCGUAACGUACAUGACAUCGUCUACAAUAGAG